CCCUGCUUGGGUGCACACACCCACAGCUGCCGGCGAGAGGACACUGUGGUGACUGGGAGAGCCUGGGAAGCCUGGGAAAGCAAGCAACCGAUCCGGAUCAGCUACCAAAGUGGACGGAACAAGUGGGACCUCGCUGGUAUUGGUAGGCACAGCUGAAAUUGAGGAGAGGAGGUGACAGGGAAGCACCCUGAGCUACAAAGCACCCUGGAGCCCUUCCACAGCUGAUUCUCACUUGAGUGCCUGCGAAAGCCCUGCACCCUGUGCUGCUGCUCCCUCUGGCCCCGCACAGGGGAAAGCUGUUUCCACAUUCAGACAUUGGACCCAGACUAAAAGAUGGGGUCCCAGCAGCUGUGUCACUAGUGUGGAGAUGUAAGAACAACCUCUGUUUCUAGUGGGUUUUGCUCAAUGCACAGAGGACCUCUGCGAAUCCUGGCACCGUUCUUUUGCAGAUGUUUCAUGGCACGUGCUUCAUGCCCCGGCACCUCACGGACCAUCUCACACUGGGUAUAAAACACCUACUUAUCUGAUGGCAAUUAGUGUCUUCAUGCGGUUAUGAGGUAGGCAUCCAGUCGACGUCAGCUCACGGAGAGCAUGUAACAGGCAGCUGCUUUCCUCCUCUCCCACCCUAGACUCCUUGCCUGCAUGACAGCCAAAUAUUCCGCCAGUCAGGGGAAGCAAAAACUAAUUUUCCAUAACAGAGGCAAUACUCCUGCAGUAACAUGGGACAGCCAUUAGAGAAGUGCCGUUUCAGCGCACAUCAUUGACUUCGGGAAACAGAAGUGGUCCGCAGGCCGGCUGGCACUGCAGGACAUGGACACGGGAGCUGAGCCUUCAAUGGGAGAUAUGGUUUGUGCAGAGGAGAGCGCACAGCGUGCAGUAACACCUCAGAGGGAAACACUGGCACCACUGAAGAUGGGAGUGAGAGCAGCCAUUCAGCUGGCAGAAGAUCAAAUAUUGUGCCUGUCUUCAGCAAGGAUUUGGCAAACAGUAAACCGGUGGACCUACCCUCAAUAUUAGCAAGAGCUGUCAAACAAGUGACUAUAAAAUCAGUAUGUAAAUAUUUAGAAGACAUCAAGAAGACUUAUCAGCAUUAGCAUGGGCAUCUAAAGAACACAGGUUCCAGCUUGGCCAGGCUUCGAAGAACGAGCGCAGAGAUAGCACCUGUAGUAUCUCUGUCUGUCCUGUGUUAGGUCUUGUGACAAAAGCAACAUCAGCUCAUAAACAGACAAGGUCCCUAAAUGUUGGCCACUGUUAGGAGCUCGCAUCCAGAGAAUACAGUGCGGCCCUUACAUGGAGCAUAGAGUACUGGAAAGAAGAAAAAAACUCAGAACAUUAAAGACACAGAUAAAGCACUCAAAAAAAGGAAGAAAACAAGCAGAUAUGGCUUUGCCUGUCCUUAUACCAUCUAGAUGCAGUGUUGCUCCAGCAGUCCAAGGGAAUACCAUUCAUAUAUAUGGCUCAUGAAAUGAAGAAAUCUGGGAAUACAUGAUGCUGGAAGAGAAGUGAAAAAUGAGGACUGCUGUAGAGGUCCAAGCUGCAGAUCUUCCUGCUCAUUACAAGGAGGUUGGACUAGAUGACCUACUUAGUCUGUUCCUGAUUAUAUUAGAUUAUUAUGCCUCAGCCAGAUGACUGUAACAGCACCUUUUCUUAACCCAAAGGUACCUUAUACAAGAUGACCACUUUCAGUUGCUCCCUUUUGUCUAGAAAAGCCUCACAGAUGCCUAACGCUGCAGCUAUGUGUUUGUCCUGGAGAUUUAGCAUACAAGUACAGUUUUGUAAACAAAUAUAUUCAAAUACUCAUAAACUAAUAAUGAUAAUGAUUUUUGCCUUUUAACCUUGAUUUCCAAGGGCAAGUCUUCAAGCUGUUGAUUAAGUCUAGAUAAGCAAGAGAGGAUCACCUUAGGAUCUCCUGUUGGCAGUGCAGAUCAGAGGUGGGGAGCAAGAGCAUCAUUCUCAUCAUCCCCUCACUGUGCCCGCACUUGUUGUUUGCAAUGCUGAAAUGCUUUUUACAGUGAAUGGUGUCAGUGAUACAGUUAGCAAGAAAUAUGGGCCUUGGAUGGAUGCAGGAAUAUAUAGACAGCCCAAGAAAUGAGAAGGGAUGAAAGAAAAACCAAAAAGAAAUUCAGUGGCUGUAUUUGUUUUCCUUGGAUUUUCUUUGGACUACUUGCCUUCUCUCUGAAAUUAUUUGGCUAAACUGGUGACUCCAUGGUGUUUAUUACUUUAAUUACCAAUGAACCACUGAGAUGAAAUUUACUGAAUAAUAAAGCUGUAGACAGAUGUACUCUGCAGAUCAUCAUGCACAGUUGUAAAUUUGGGAAAAGAGCAAGAUCUUACCACAUUUAAUUGGCACAGAGCAGCAGGACUCAGGAAUUUAUAGCCAAUGUUUUCAUCCAUUAAAAAAAAUAUGUUUCCAAUUCGUAAAUUAUUGGCUUAAUUAAAUUUAAAUCACUUCAGCAGGCACACCUUGGAAUCAUCAUUGCUUCCGGAGCUUGACUUAGUUGAGAAGUGUCCAGAGGAAGGAAGAGCAGAAGUCACAAGAAGCACAGAACAAAGCACAAUGCAAAUAAUUAAAAGACAUGGGGAACUGAGUGUGUUGGAUAAAAAAAAUUUGAUUCACGUUUUCUUGAAGCUGGUGGCCAGCAUGGGAAGCAUAUUGGAAGCACAGAAAAUAAAGAUUCCCUAUCAACACCAACAUCAACAACUGGGUUGUAAAAGGCAAGUGAAACUGGCAAAGACCUUAGAGACACAGGCAACUGCUCCUUGGCUCCCAGUUACAAGGAGGGAUAGCUUGAUGCAACCAUGUCUUUGCUAUACCCAGUUUUACUAAGCAUAAGGACUCUUUCAAGGAAUGAACUUUGAAGUCAUCAUUAGCAGAAUUCAUCAGGUCUGCUCCUGAGCAUUAUCAAUGCACGGCCAUGAGUGGAAAUCCCAGAGUGCAAAUAACAGCAGCACUGCAAAGCCUUCUUCAAAGGAGGGAUAGUAGAGGCAGAAAGGGGGAGUGCGGAUGUCACAUGGGAAGGGUCUGUCUGUGCCAAGUGAUCCCGCACCCCAAGUUCCUUUUUUAUUUUUUUUUUUACUUUCAUUGAAAAUCCCUCAGAUGCUGACAAUUAUUCCCAUUGCACUGAGUACACCAGCAAUUACAGGUCCAUUUGAAUGCCCAUAGGAAGUCUUUCCAUUGGCUUCAUUGCUCUUUGGUUAUUCUCUGUAUUCACAUCCUAUCAUCAGCUUCUUGCUGAUAAAUAGGUGAUAGAAAUAAUUAUUGAUACUUGUGGUGUGGCAACAUGGGAAAGUAGAUACCUAAGAAAGCAAUGCCUCUGACAGCAGGCAGCAUUUUAUGAAAUGACAUAUUCUAUGAGUUUGAAGUAAUAUCUUAAAAUGCUUUAAAACUAAUAAAUGGAUGUUCUAGCUAAUGAGACUGUCUUCACCAGCCAAAACAAUGCAUCGUGUCAUUAACGGAGUUACAUAAUGUCAGUAACUUUAAACAUGGAGAACUAAAAACCUCCUUCAUCCAAUACCCUAGGUGACACCAAAAGCAGACUCAAGCUCCUUUCCACUUGGCAGAGGACUGGCAAAAGCACUGCAGUUUUCACAGCUACCUUUAAUCCCAAGAGGCAGAGCUCAGGAAAUACUGUAAGGGCUUGCUUCCCAGCUUACUUAGGUAUUGGCCCGUCUGCCAGCCACGCUUCAUUGGGCCUUGCCUCAUUGCAGAGCUGCCCGGCGUCAUUAUGCACCAAAAAGCAACAAAGGGAGCUCAGCUGGCUUCAAAGGGUGCAGGACCCAUGGCCCAGGCUGAGAGGGGCUGGCAAAGAGCAAGAAAAAGUCAGGCUUCAGUAACUUUUAAUGACAGCUCUUGUUAGGGUUAAAAAAACAACUCGGCCAUCGUGCUGUGAUUCAGUCUGAAGGGGAACCCAUCACCCUUGCUGCUACAGGUCGCAGCACUGCAAAGGAUGUUGUUAUCCUCGAAAUUAAUCAUUCAGAGCUACCACAACAGGCAUGUGAUACCAAGCUGAGAUGCAAAGCUCACUGCAGCCUGCCUGACAGGAGACUGAUUACUGCUACUUCAGCCAUCUCAUCCUUCUCGCAGGAUCCUUCCUCAACUAUCAAAUUACACUUUUGUACAACUGGGAAAAAGCAAGUUGUUUCAGCAAAGUCCCUCUCUUCCCCUUCCCAGGGCCCCUAAUCAGCCCCUGGAGUAAUACACUGACUGGUGCAGAUGGACACUUCAAACAGCGCUAGCUGGAAAAAGUAAAGAAUAAAUUACCAUCCUGUCUCGGUCCUGUUUCUUAGUAUAAUAUUUCUGUUGUUAACAGAAAAGACAGUUUAACAUUUUAGAAAGCUCUUAUCAUCCUUUCCUGUUUUUACAGGAAGCAAAAGUACAUAGAAGCCAAAAUCAGUAGUUAGGAUUGGUAAGAAACAAUUAAGUAUGCAUCCCAAGCUUUGAAAUUCUCCAGAAAUGCCAGGUAAUUGAAAUUUUUUCUCCUCACUUCCACUCAUACGAGCCCUCAGAUAGCUUUCUGGCUUUAAGAGUGUUGUGUCUGCCAACACAGAGAAAUCUAUCCCAGUCUCAGUACACUGGCCACAUUAUCUGUGGUCCUCUACUGAGGAUAAACUCUCCUUGUCUUUCACCUCUCAGUAACAGUUCCAUGUCAAGAAUGAACCAAGUUCUUGUUAGAUGAGUGAUGCAGGGUGAAAAUCCAGCUGUUGAUGCUUCUUUCCUUCUGAGCAACAUUUAUUUACUAUGAUUUGGGCUACAACAGCUCCUGAAAGUACCAGUGGAGACAUGUGCCCUGGGAUGAUGUGGACUAUACAAAAGAUACAGAUACACACCCUAAAAGUUUACAGUCUAAAAUAACAAGGAAAAUAACUAAGAUGUUUUUGCACAUGAAGAAGCUCACACUUCAUGAAAUUAAACCGUCCCAGAGGAAGAAAGAUUUGCUUGGGUCUGUGGAUAAGACACCAUCAAUUAUUAUAUAUUUAAUAAUUUAAGUGACAUAUACUUCAUCUGUGCCUCAUUUAACAUCAAAAUAGCUCAUCUAUUUCUAUAGUCAGAUAUCUUCUCUAAUGCCUGGAUUUCUGAUGUACUACUAUAGAGUAAUGUUCACAAUGAGUUUCAUCAUCAAUUCCUUCUGAAUUCCUGUUUCUUGGUCAAUUCUGUUCUGUAAAACAGCUCUUUGUAGCAGUUAUCUUGAAUUUACAAUAGCUUCACAUUGAGAAUUGAGGUAUUACAUGACUGUUAUUUUAAUGUUGUUUGUGUAUUCAGUUGUACAUAAUUAUGAAAUGGAAUUAUGGGAAGGGGUUUAGAGAAUUUAUCUAUAAGAUAUUUCGCAGUCAUUAGCAACCGCAGCAAAGCCCAGUUGGACCAACGCAGGAAGGCAGAAAGAAAUGCUUCUGUUUUUCUAGUGCUCUGGAGUGUUUUCCCAUUUGUUGAUUCUAGAAAUUUUUUUCAAGUGAAACCUAGUUCCAGGAGCAUGGGGAAAUCAUGCUAGAUUUACAUCCAUACACUGCAGUGGAAAAAAGCUGAUCCCGCACAAUAAAUCAUUUCCAUUUCAUUUCAAUAUGUGAUCACAUGACAACACGUUGGGGAAAAUGGAAAUGUAAUGGUAUCACAGCUGCACAUGGGCACAGCAGCAGGAGGACAAACCCAAGACAAUACUGAGUUCAGAAGUUCAGAUUUAGCACAGGGUUAUAAAAGCUGAAUUAUAACCUUUGCUGAACUCAUAUCCCUAGAGCAACUCCCCACCACCGCACUCAC